UACAGAGGUGGCAAGCGUUGUUCGGAAUUACUGGGCGUAAAGGGCGCGUAGGCGGUCUUGCAAGUCCUGUGUGAAAUCCCUCGGCUCAACUGAGGAACUGCACAGGAAACUGCUUGGCUUGAGUUCGGGAGAGGGAAGCGGAAUUCCGGGUGUAGCGGUGAAAUGCGUAGAUAUCCGGAGGAACACCGGUGGCGAAGGCGGGUCUCUGGGCCGAUACUGACGCUGAGGAGCGAAAGCGUGGGGAGCGAACAGG
rnacentral:rRNA from 1 species